rnacentral:rRNA from 1 species
GCUUGUCUCAAAGAUUAAGCCAUGCAUGUCUAAGUAUAGUACCUUAUACUGCGAAACUGCGAAUGGCUCAUUAAAUCAGUUAUAAUUCAUUUGAUGGUACUUACUACUCGGAUAACCGUAGUAAUUCUAGAGCUAAUACGUGCGUAAAUCCCGACUUCUGGAAGGGACGUAUUUAUUAGAUAAAAGGCCAGCCGGGUUUCGGCCCGUUCUUUGGCGACUCAUGAUAACUUCACGAAUCGCAUGGCCUUGUGCCGGCGAUGUUUCAAUCAAAUAUCUGCCCUAUCAACUUUCGAUGGUAAGGUAUUGGCUUACCAUGGUUACAACGGGUAACGGGGAAUUAGGGUUCGAUUCCGGAGAGGGGGCCUGAGAAAUGGCCACCACUUCCAAGGAAGGCAGCAGG